GUCAUUAAAACUAGUUUACAUACACUUAGGUUGGAGUCAUUAAAACUAGUUUACAUACACUUAGGUUGGAGUCAUUAAAACUAGUUUACAUACACUUAGGUUGGAGUCAUUAAAACUAGUUUACAUACACUUAGGUUGGAGUCAUUAAAACUAGUUUACAUACACUUAGGUUGGAGUCAUUAACACUAGUUUACAUACACUGAGGUUGGAGUCAUUAAAACUAGUUUACAUACACUUAGGUUGGAGUCAUUAAAACUAGUUUACAUACACUUAGGUUGGAGUCAUUAAAAC